GAUGAAGAACGCAGUGAAAUGCGAUAAGUAAUGUGAAUUGCAGAAUUCAGUGAAUCAUCGAAUCUUUGAACGCACAUUGCGCCCGCUAGUAUUCUGGCGGGCAUGCCUGUCCGAGCGUCAUUUCAACCCUCAAGCCCCCGGGCUUGGUGUUGGGGAUCGGCGAGCCUCCGCGCCCGCCGUCCCCUGAAUCUAGUGGCGGUCUCGCUGUAGCUUCCUCUGCGUAGUAGCACACCUCGCACUGGGAAACAGCGCGGCCACGCCGUUAAACCCCCAACUUCUGAACGUUUGACCUCGGAUCAGGUAGGAAUACCCGCUGAACUUAAGCAUAUCAAUAAGCGGAGGA
rnacentral:misc_RNA from 1 species